GACGAACGCUGGCGGCGUGCCUAAUACAUGCAAGUAGAACGCUGAAGGAGGAGCUUGCUUCUCUGGAUGAGUUGCGAACGGGUGAGUAACGCGUAGGUAACCUGCCUGGUAGCGGGGGAUAACUAUUGGAAACGAUAGCUAAUACCGCAUAAGAGUAGAUGUUGCAUGACAUUUGCUUAAAAGGUGCAAUUGCAUCACUACCAGAUGGACCUGCGUUGUAUUAGCUAGUUGGUGGGGUAACGGCUCACCAAGGCGACGAUACAUAGCCGACCUGAGAGGGUGAUCGGCCACACUGGGACUGAGACACGGCCCAGACUCCUACGGGAGGCAGCAGUAGGGAAUCUUCGGCAAUGGACGGAAGUCUGACCGAGCAACGCCGCGUGAGUGAAGAAGGGUUUCGGAUAGUAAAGCUCUGUUGUAAGAGAAGAACGAGUGUGAGAGUGGAAAGUUCACACUGUGACGGUAUCUUACCAGAAAGGGACGGCUAACUACGUG
rnacentral:rRNA from 1 species